ACGAACGCUGGCGGCAGGCUUAACACAUGCAAGUCGAGCGCCCCGCAAGGGGAGCGGCAGACGGGUGAGUAACGCGUGGGAACGUACCCUUUACUACGGAAUAACGCAUGGAAACGUGUGCUAAUACCGUAUGUGCCCUUCGGGGGAAAGAUUUAUCGGUAAAGGAUCGGCCCGCGUUGGAUUAGCUAGUUGGUGGGGUAAAGGCCUACCAAGGCGACGAUCCAUAGCUGGUCUGAGAGGAUGAUCAGCCACAUUGGGACUGAGACACGGCCCAAACUCCUACGGGAGGCAGCAGUGGGGAAUAUUGGACAAUGGGCGCAAGCCUGAUCCAGCCAUGCCGCGUGAGUGAUGAAGGCCCUAGGGUUGUAAAGCUCUUUCACCGGUGAAGAUAAUGACGGUAACCGGAGAAGAAGCCCCGGCUAACUUCGUG
rnacentral:rRNA from 1 species